rnacentral:lncRNA from 1 species
AAAAUAACUACCUAUAACCAUUACUACAGGAAAAAAAGAAACUACAAAUGUAAAAAUGUAAACAUUUAAAUUGAAGUCUUUAAAAUUGCAGAAGGUACCGUCUACCAUUGCAAGACCAAGUGAACAGCACAAGACACAAGGUACCAUCUAAAAACUGCUAAAUCAAGUCUUUGUGCAGGCAGCCCUGCAGAAGUUUUUCAUGCUACAUGAAAUUCACAUUCAAGUUUGGACUAGCUUUUAAGCUGUGCUUCCUAACAGAAAGGUUGGCUAUUGUCUUCACUAGGCUUCAAUCCCACUACUUAAUUGCUUUUAAGCAGAAAUUAAUUAAUUCCAGCAGAGAAAAAGCAGGACAAAUUUCAGAGCAAGCUUGACAUGUUCUUUACAAAAGCAGCGUAUCACAUGCAGCUCAGAAGCAGCAAAUGAACAAGAUGCACAAAGCUACCAACAUCUUUGCUGCACAACAGCUGGCAGUUGGGGCAGAUCACUAGCAGUGCAGUCUGUCUCUGCAAGAACACCAUUUUUCUGCAGACCCCAUCGCAAGGCAGCAGUGCACUGGUUUGCCUGCACAACUGUGAGAGAUAAUGCUGAAUCUACGGAGCUACAAGACAUGCCGCCAGGCCUCUCCCAGUUCUCCUUGUCCAGUUCUGCUAUGUUCCCACAUGCUUUUGCAUUGUACGCUGGUUUAUCAGAGGGUGGAGGUGGAGCUCUUCUUUUCUUCCCUCUGCCAUCAUUAGGACUUGCAGUAUGCAUAUUUUUCUGAACAACCAUCUCAUGAGAUCCAUCAAAGAGUGAAGCCCAUAAGGAAGAUGCAGGUUCUUUUUGCUGGCAAAGCAGGAACUCACCAUCACUCUUUUCAAUUUUUCUUUGUAUGAUAUCAGCUAAGCCCUCAUGUUUCACUGGAGAAUCAAUGCCUGUAAUUUUAAGGGACAGCAAUUAACUCAGAUUAAAAUGCUACCCAUGACUUUACUCCUCUCAGUUUUAUUACUGUUCAGAAUACAAAACUGUAUUAACCAUGUCUCAUGAAGCCUGGACUAUUAAGCAUAUUAAUGGAAGAACUGGAAAAUAUUGCAUAUGCUUUCAUAAGAGAAAGCUGGGGGAUAGGAAAGAACUGUUUUCAUGACAGCUGGUGUUGAGAGAAC